rnacentral:rRNA from 1 species
CGAAGCAACGCGAAGAACCUUACCAGGGCUUGACAUCCCUUGAAGUGCAUAGAAAUAUGUACGCCUUUCGGGGCAAGGAGACAGGUGGUGCAUGGUUGUCGUCAGCUCGUGUCGUGAGAUGUUGGGUUAAGUCCCGCAACGAGCGCAACCCUUAUGGUUAGUUGCCAGCACGAAAGGUGGGAACUCUAAUCAGACUGCCGGGGAUAACUCGGAGGAAGGUGGGGACGACGUCAAAUCAUCAUGCCCCUUAUGUCCUGGGCUACACACGUGCUACAAUGGCCGGUACAAAGGGCUGCGAAACCGAAAGGUGAAGCGAAUCCCAUAAAGCCGGUCCCAGUUCGGAUUGUGGGCUGCAACCCGCCCACAUGAAGCCGGAGUUGCUAGUAAUCGCGAAUCAGCAUGUCGCGGUGAAUGCGUUCCCGGGCCUUGUACACACCGCCCGUCACACCAUGGGAGUUGGGAGCGCCCGAAGCCGAUGGCCUAACAAGCAAUUGAAGGAGUCGUCGAAGGCGAGAUCAAUGACUGGGGUG